AGGUCGUCUGGUCCGACAGGGCGACUGCCUGUGUGCUGCUCUGGCCCCCCUGUAUGCGCUGCUGCGUUUGUUGGCUGUGUUGCUGGAGGCCGGUGGUGGCGGUGCUGGUGUUUGGUGGUGGUAUCCAUCCUUCCGUCUUGUCCGCUGUGUUCCUGGGAGUGGGUUGCUUCACUGAGUGUGUCUGCCACGUGUGCCUGGUGAUUUAAGUUGGUUUCUCUU